GAUUCCCUGUCGUGUUCGUGAUGUCCAGUUAUGUUUUGAGCCAACACUUGAACCGAAGGGGAUACGCCCGUGAGCGGUCGAGGAGCUGUGCAGCAGGUUCUCGAUGCCCUCUUUUGCGAUCCCCACGUGUAUACGUAGGUUCGAGAUAUUCUCGACACACGGCAUCGUGGCGGGGAAUCC
rnacentral:other from 1 species